rnacentral:rRNA from 1 species
GACGAACGCUGGCGGCGUGCUUAACACAUGCAAGUCGAACGGAAAGGCCCUGCUUUUGUGGGGUGCUCGAGUGGCGAACGGGUGAGUAACACGUGAGUAACCUGCCCUUGACUUUGGGAUAACUUCAGGAAACUGGGGCUAAUACCGGAUAGGAGCUCCUGCUGCAUGGUGGGGGUUGGAACGUUUCGGCGGUUGGGGAUGGACUCGCGGCGUAUCCGCUUGUUGGUGGGGUAGUGGCUUACCAAGGCUUUGACGGGUAGCCGGCCUGGGAGGGUGACCGGCCACAUUGGGACUGAGAUACGGCCCAGACUCGUACGGGAGGCAGCAGUGGGGAAUAUUGCACAAUGGGCGGAAGCCUGAUGCAGCAACGCCGCGUGCGGGAUGACGGCCUUCGGGUUGUAAACCGCUUUCGCCUGUGACGAAGCGUGAGUGACGGUAAUGGGUAAAGAAGCACCGGCUAACUACGUG